UAGGCUGUUAAAGACACGAUUCUUCUGAUUGAGGCCAUUUUGAAUUUUCAGUCCAACGGGUGACAGGACUGCAUUUUUCUGCACUGCUAUCAACUUAAAGGCACUGAAAAGGUAAGAAUUAAAUCACAUAUGAGCAGAUUAAUUGUUGAAUGCUUUAAAUGUCACCAAAUAUGUUAUGAUAAAGCAAAAUGUUUGCUGUAUUAGCUGGUUCACAAGUACUCCUGCAUUUACGUUAGCCUUGAAGCUAAAAUAAGCUAACAGUUAACGAUUUCGCGCCACAUUUUUCGUUUUCUUGAUCGACACUUUAAGUAAUAUACUUUUGUUUUAACGUUUUUAUCCACUCAGUAUUAAGCAUGUGAGUUACGUAGUUAUGGAUUAAUUGGGUUUUACGGCUGUAAUUUAGUUGUAAUUUGGAUUAUGUACCCAAUAUGCCUUAAACUAAUGCUUGUAUAUAACUAAUAAAGUUAUUUGACUGUUUUCCUUCAUUAUCCUUUGAAAUAAUAUGAAAUAUGUCUUCAAACAUUAGGAAAAAAGUAGUUUCCUACUCAUUUAACGUUACACAAAUGACUGAAGAGUCAGAGUUAGCAGAGACGUUUAUUCUGUGUCCGAGUUUGGCUGUACGGGAGUUUGGGGAAAGUACCAUACGGUAAUCGCUUUACGUUUCUUUCAUUUUAAGGAAUUUGACAUCAGCAUUGAGCUCAUUUAUGACUCCGGCGCUUCUCCGUCAUAAAUCUUCUCCGUCAGAGGCCAGCCGCACCGAAAAAGCAGUUUGACGUCAAAAUUGAGUUCUCAUUAAGACUGGGGCACUACUGAACUAUUAUCAUGUGAGGAGCAAGGGACAAGACUAAAAUCUUCUCCAUCAGAGACCAACUGCCCUGAAAAAGGAUCUGGAUGAUGAAGAUCCAAGAAGAUCCAAUCACGUCCCAUCAACAAUCCCACACCUCUGAA